AAGACCACCCAUCCUCAGUGUGUUGAACUGCGAGUCUUCUACGCUGGUUUUCAACAAAUACUUGCUCCAUCUGGCUUGAGGAUUCCAUUCUUCGCGUUUGUGGGAGAAGACCUUUAAAAGAAAACGACGUUGAGGGCAAUUUGGAAGAUAAACUUCUUAUAGAAGAAAAAAAAGACCUCAAGAGGGAGGUGACAUGGAGCUUGGAAGGGCGAGGAUACAUCAGAGAGGAGACGUUGCUGUGAGCCUGUUUCUCUUGGCUGCCUAUCAAGUAGCAAUUACCUACCAGCUCCCUGUAUCUCUUCCCAACAGAAACAACCUAGUUAUCCAAAUAUGACUCAUCCACACCCCCAAACUGACUUUGAUAACAAGAUACCAGAAGAAGCAGGGGGAAGAAUUUUAAAGAUUGUAUGCAUGUUAUGACUCUCAUCUUUUCUUUCUCAUACCAGCCUUGCAGGUAUAAGCUGAUGUGAUUAUAGACAGUCUAUGGUUCAGCUUUACUUAAUUCCUAGGCUCUUUAGAUUAAUAAGAGUAUGACUCAGAAAGCAUGGUCAUUAAAAUGUAUUAUAAUGGAAAUUAUUUAUUUGUGCCAUUCCUUGUUAUAAGGACAUUCCAUACUUUCCAGUUGUCAGAGUAUAAGCUUUGUUUUUGGAGCUAAAAAUAGAGUAGAAAUCGACAACAUUUAACACACUGAAAAAUGAAAUGUUCAGUCACAAUUUGUUUAUUUUCACUUUUUAAAAAGGAAAGGUUAUUGAGGUUUAAAACCCCUGUGAACUUUAUAGCAAACGUAUAACUCAAUUAACUUCGACACAUUCAGUUGUAUUGUAGCUACCAGAAACAAGGUGGAGAACAUUUCCAUAAUUUUGAGAAGUUCCCUUGUACCCCUUUGUGGUGAACAACCUCUGGCAACCUCUGGUCUGUUUCCUAAUUUUCCAGCUUGACUUAUUUAAGAAUAUCAUAUAAACGAGAUGCAGCACAUUAGCCUUUGAGUCUGGCUCCUUUGACUUAGCUUAAUGCUUUUGAAUUUUCAGCUUGUGGUUUACAGUAGUUUCUCAUCAUAUGUGGUUUUGCUUUGCAUGGUUUCAGUUACUCACAGUGAAGUGAGGUCCAAAAAUAUUAAAUGGUAAAUGUCAGAAAUAAAUAAUUUACAACUUUUAAAUUGUGUAAUGUUCUGAGUAGUGUGAUGAAAUCUUGUGCUAUUCCUUCUGGGGUGAGAAUUGCAGUAUACACAACCCAUCCAUUAGUCACUUAGAAGCUCACUUAUCAAAUUGACUGUUGUGGUAUUGCAGGGGUUGUGUUCCUCAAAUCCUUAUGUUACUUAAUAAUGGCCCCAAAGUGCAAUACUAGUGAUGCUGGAAAUUUGGAUACACUGAAGAGAAGUUGUAAAGGUGAAAAUUUAUUAUAGGUAUGUGUGUAUAGAAAAAAAACACAGUAUGGAGUUCUGUACUAGCAGGCAUUCACUGAAAGUCUUGCAAUGUACUUCCCUUGGAUAAGCGUGGGGAGGAGGCUAUUGUUUUGUUUUUAUUGUACAGAUUAAAAAAAAAAAACUAAGGUUCAGAAGUAACUUCUCUAUGUUAACAUAAUAUGUAAAUGUAAUGCCAGGAUAUGAAACCCAGGGAUCACUGACUUGAAAAUUCGUGUUUAUAACCAUGAGAAGGCACUUUCCCCAAUUUCUACUGUCAAGAUGCACUCCAGAUGGGAUAUACUGGAUGUACCUUUAUUUAAUCUUAAUCAAGCUUACCUCCCUGAUAAAGGCGAUACUAACAAAGAUGUUCUCCAUUAUCAAGCAAAAUAUCAAGUCAUCAUAAAUAUCAAGGCCAGUGUGCAAAAUGUUAAGGUCUUUAGCAGCAUUAGAGAAUAUUUGGGAGAAACAAGCUUUUUACUAUGCAGUAUAAUUUCACAUGGGUGACAAGUUGACUCUGCCAGUUUCACUGUGAACUGCUUAGCAGGAUUCUACAACAAUUUUAGUAUGUGUAAGAAUAUGUACAGGACUUUAAAAAAAUAGCUACAAGACAAAGCUAUGUGGUAAAAAUAGUGUUAUGUGCUAUUUAAUAAUUUAAAAAAUUUAUUUUUCACAAAUACCAAUGUUCUUGUCAAAAUUAUUUUUGACAGAUUAUAUUUAUUCAACCAUUGUAGCACAGUAUCAGUCAAGAGAGUAAUUCUUUAUCAGGUACUUACUGUAUCUGAGAUAAUUUAAUAUAAAUGUUUAAUGAGGUAUUGGAGGAUUGAAAAGGUAUGAAGAUCACUAUGUAUUGAGGCUUUUCAGGAAUGAAGGUUUGGGUUGCCACUCAACUAGAUAAAGAAUUCUAACCAGCCAAGAUCCUGGCUGGAGUAAGGAGGGAAGAAUGGACAGAGACAAAGCUUAAUACCAAGGACAACUGUCUCAUGAUAACUUGUCUUGAAUCAAUGUUAUUGGAUAUGAAAACUUUUAUUUCUGCAGGAUAAGGACAAUGCUCAUCUCACAUUAUGAACAAUGCAAUCCAUCCCAGGGAUUUGGUUAACUUUAUUAGACAAUAAUUUCAAAGAUCGUGUUUCUGAACAGCAGCCACUCCAGCACUAUUACACACAGUAGGAACUCAGUCCUCACCCAGCAAUAGCUGUUUCAGGGCUUCACAAUGAGGCAUGUUGGGUCUUCAAUGGGGGACUAUCUUCUAAUAAGAGAAGCUGGUACAAAUGUCCACAUAUAAAGAGGUAGUGAACUACAGUGGAGAGCUUCUCAGAUGUGGUAACACUUGGUAUCCAGUUGGUUAUGGAGCCUGGACUGUAAAAGAAGUCCAUUCAUAUUGAAAUAUGGCUCUUGUAAUUGAUUUGAGGGUAGUGUAUAAUGUAGAGGGAAUCCCAAAUGUCAUGCUAACCAGGGUUCCAAUCCUGGGAGAAACUGGAGCUCAACUCAAAGGUAUUGAGGAAGGUUGCUAUUUGGUGGGCAUGGGUAAUCCAGGAGACCACCAGGGAACACAAGUAGUUUUAGGGGGACAUAUUAACUCUAGCCUCUUUUUUUCCCCUUAUAGUAUUACCUAGCAGAGUACUAAGUAAAGCCGGCUGGGUUAUUAUUGGCUAAGGGAUGGCACUGGGCUAACCCUGAAAAUACCAGGUCUUUAGUACUGAUCCCUGGGGAGGAUUGUGGAAAGCAGAGACCUAGAGUUGCCCCUUUGAUCACACUGGCAUCAUCUGAUAGACACCAAGUAAUUUUGCCGGCCUUGAUAUUUUACUGGGCUGGUUAAGUUUGGAAAGUAUCUUUUAAGCAAUAUAGCAAUUGGAAUGAAGUAAUAUAGGAAUAAGGGCAGGCAAAUGUGAGUAGACAAUCAGAAAAUGUGGAAUUUCCAUUUUUAUUUUUUUGGGUCUUAUUUGAAAUAUUUUAAACUUCCAGGACUGAAAUAGUUUAAAGCCAAGAGAGAUGGGAGCUUACUACAUAUUGCAUAUCUUUAAGAAAGUAUAAGACUGGGGAUUUCUGAACCUUUUUAUUCAGUGAGAUUGAUUAAUUUGGUCUGAGCAUACCCACAAGAUUAAGUAAAGAAAAACUCUGACAAAUUCAGAUAGUUUGCAUCAGUAAGAAAGUUUAUUGAAAUUCAUUAGUAAAUGAGAACAGAAAGUUUUUCUUUUUUCUUUUUCCAUGAAAAAACACUUUCUGGCAAAGUGAAAAGAAGAACUACAGAAAUCACAAAACACCUUUUAGACACCUUAUUUUCAAGGAGUGAACCUGUUUCCACAGACCAUUAAGACAGAAGUGUUGAACAUUUUGCCAUGCAUCUGUUAUAUAAUGGCCUGUGCGAAGGGAGACUCUUUCGUCUUGAUGCUACUUAUUAGUAGUGCUUCUUGGUUUCUGAUUCAACCAUAGAUGAAAGAACUCUACCAUCAGGUGUCACUUCUUCAAUAAUUGUCUUGAUCACUCUGGUUUUGUUAGUAUCUGUGAAUAAUAAUAAAUAAAUUAGAAUUUAGGUUAAGCAAUUUGUAGGUAUCCUUGCUAAUAAACAUGCAAAUAUUCAAAAGGAAAAACGAUAUUGCACUUUUUAAGAAAGGAAAAUUCAAAUUUUCACAUUAAAAAUAAUCCAAUCAAUGUUUACUCAAAAGUGCGUUUUGUUAAAAAAUGCAAAUGAAAACCCUAAGAUUUUCAUUUUUAAAAACAGCCCUAGAGCUGAGGAAGCACUAAAACCAUCACGUAGAGUUAAAACUAAUUCUGAUUACCCCAGAGAUUUUCUGCUGACCUUGGUCCCUUAGAUGAGACCUCUCCAGCGGACCCGGAAGAGGAGGAUUUGAAGCCUCCGCUUCCGCUCUGGCCUCCGCCGGAGCUGCCACCGCCAAAGCUGCCGCAGAGGCCGCCGCCGGAACUGCCGCCGUGACCACCUCCACCGGAGCUGCCGCCACCGAAGCUACCGCCGUGGCCGCCGCCGGAACUGCCCCCGUAGCUGCCGCCGCCGUAGGAUCCGCCUCUGGAACUAAGAGGGGUGAGGGUCCUAAGCAGUGAUCUUGUAACAGUGGAAAAGGGUGGCUCCCUCUCUGGUGAUUGUUAUUUUAGUAGAUAAGCCAAGGUUUUGAGAGAAUACAGUACUGCCAAGCACGUGUUUUAAAACCCACUGUUUAAAACAAACUUAACUACACACAGCCCUGAGAUUCAUUCACUCCUUUUUCGGUACCCUGCCUCCUCCUUACACCUCCCUUCUUCCCAUCCUCUGGCAUUUCCUUGGGAGUUUGGAUAAGCCUUGCUAUUCAUAAUAUUGAAUGAAAACAAUUGGGAUUUUUUUUUUUCCCCAGUUUUCCAAUUACCUUCCCUCUCCUUCUAGCAGGCUGCGGUAGGUUUGAAUUUCAUUCUCCAGUCGGAUCUUAAUAUCCAGGAGUUGUUGGUAUUCAGCGUUCUGGCACUCGGUUUCAGCUCUAAUCUGUUGCAGCUGUUCCUUCAGGGAGGUGAUCUGGCCCUGAAUCUGUGAGAGCUGCACACAGUAGCGACCUUCCGUUUCUGCCAAGGAGGCUUCCAGGGAUUGUUUCUGAAAAGAGGAUUUUGUUGUUGCUUAAUGACCUCGUUGUUCAAUUGGCAUACUGAAGCUUAUCAAAUUAUUUAAUAAGAUACUACUGGAGAAAAAGGGAAAUGAAUAAAAUUAGUGUUUUAUGUAAUGGCAACAUUUCAAUCUCAGCACUUCAUACUGAUACUAAUAGUUCUUUUCCUCCAUUAGCAUAGAGUUCCAGUUUUAUUUCUGCUUUCUUAUCCUCAGCUCUGUGUUUCUAUGAUAAAAUGGAAGUCAUGUCUCAAGACUUAACAUACCAGGGCCAGUUGGGACUGUAGUUCAAUCUCUAGACCUUGAACCGUGCGUCUCAAUUCAGUAAUUUCGGAUUUGUGGCUGGACAUUUGUUCAAUGUUGUUAUCGAUUUCUGUAGUCAGUUCCUUGCUCUGGAAUUAUAAAAAUGGGAAAAUAUGAGAAACCUCGGACAUGACAACAGAACUUACAUGGGCUUCACUGUGAAGGGUGGUUGACUUACCUUUUCAUUGAACCAGGCUUCAGCAUCCUUUCUGUUCUUUUCAGCAAGUUGCUCAUAUUGGCUUCUCAUGUUAUUCAGAAGUUCAGUCAGAUCAACACCUGGGGCAGCAUUCAUUUCCACAUUCACGUCACCAGUAGAUACGUUCUGAAGGUCUCUCAUUUCCUGUUUGAGGAACAAAAAAAGAUUUAAUGACUGCACCAUGACCACAAUGAACCUUUUGAAAAAUUGGGGGAAAUAUAAUUUUGUAUCACCUCUUCAUGGUUCUUCUUCAGGUACUGCAGCUCUUCAGUCAGGCUCUCGAUCUGCAUCUCCAGAUCAGCCUUGGUGAGGGUCAGCUCGUCCAGCACCCUGUGCAGGCCGUUGAUGUCGGCCUCCACGCUUUGUCGCAGGGUUACCUCAUUCUCAUACCUGCAACAAGCAUGAUACAUAUAUUGGAUACAAUUCUUAAGAAGGAGUUGUAUGUGGAAAAAGACUUUAAAAAAUUUAGAGUUGAUUUCAUGUCCUUGCAAUAUUUACCAUAUACUAACUCACAUAGGAAGAUUAGCAAUUACUUUAAAUGCAUUUUCUUCCUUUAAAGCUUACCAGGAAGGUAAUUCUGAAAUUGAAACUUUCUCAGAUAAUUCCAGUUCUGUCACUUUGAAUGAAUUCAGGAAAAUGUAAAUGCUACUAUGGCAUCUAAAGUCACUAUUACAAACAAUUGAUGUAUUUGUAUUGAUAGUAUUGCACAUUCAAUUAGCUUACUUCAUUCUGAAGUCAUCAGCUGCCAGCCUGGCAUUGUCAAUCUGAAGCAGGACGUUGGCGUUGUCCGUUGUUAGGUUGAGGAUCAGGAGGAACAGUCAUUUAAGAAAAGGUCAGAUGCAAAUAUGGCUUUUAUAGUGGCAUAGAUAAGCUGCAUUUUUAUGUUGUUCUCUUCCAAAAACUUUUUGUGUGGAUUAUUUUUAAAUAUAAAAUAUUUUAAGCUUACCCACAAACUUAAAUUUAAAAACCUAUCUUGAAGUUUCUACACUAUUCUAUUUCUGUGUCAUCCCUUUCUGAAAACUAACUAUAUGUAAUCCUAUUAAUGUAUUAGCCUCUUUUAUACUUAGUGAUUUUUAUGUAUUUCAACCAACUUUUGACUGGCUCACCCCUGUAUUUGUUCCAUUUGCUAUAAAUAUUUCUAAAUAGAUAUACUCUGAACUGGUAGGUACAAUUCACAGAUUCCCUGGAGUUAAGCAAUAUCCCAAUUCCAUAAAGGAGACUUCAUGGAUUUUGCAAUGUUGCUAUUGAAUAUGGCUUAUUUGUUAUCAGUCUUAAUAAUAUUUUUGUUCUUAUUCAUUUAAUAUUUUUCAGCUCUUACAUUUUUAAAUGAUCUGGCAUAUUUAACUGUGGGCUCAUUAUAUGUUCAUUAAAAUCUAAAAUUCCUUGUUAAUCUGCAUCAUGUAAGACAGACAAAACACAUGCUGGAUGAAGAUUGCCAUGACCAUACCUUCAUUCAAUUUAUCCUUGAUGAGACUGGAUUUAUUUGGAAGCAAGAAAAUCACAGUGAACAGCUAUAUUAUACUUAAGAUUCAUCUACCCAUAUUACAGGGAUAGAAUUAAAUUUAAAGUUGGAUUUUAAAAUGCUCCUUACCUGAUUUUUCAGUUCUUCAAUGGUUUGGUAGUAUUUGCUGUAGUCCCGAGGCUCCCACUGGCUUGAGUUGCCAUGCUUUUCAUACCACUCCUUGAUUUUACCUUCCAGCUCAUAGUUUGAUUCUUCCAGAGCCCGAACUUUGUCAAGGUAGGAAGCCAGCCGGUCAUUCAGAUUCUGCAUGGUUACUUUUUCAUUUCCAGAGAGAAGGCCACCAUCUCCUCCAAAUCCACCACCAAAGCCUCCUCCAUAGCCACCUCCACCAAAGCUGCCCCCACCGAAACUGCCACCUCCAAAGCUGCCUCCUCCAUAGCCCCCACUUCCAUAGCCCCCACUUCCAUAGCCCCCACCAAAGCUGCUGCUUCCGAAGCCUCCACCAAAGCUACCUCCACCAUAACCUCCUCCUAUUCCUCCAAAGCCAUCUGAAGAGCCCCCAAAACAGCCUCCACCAGAGCUCCCACGGCUAAAAGAGCCACCACUGAAGCCCCCUGAGCUAUAUCCUCCACCAAGGGAGCCUUUGCUGCUUGAAAUUCUGAGGGAUGAUCCUCCUCCACCUCCUCCCCUCCACUGCGGGAGGAAGAGUACUGCUUGCUUGAGCUGUAUCGAACAGACAUGUUGAUGCUGUUGAGCUCAGGGAGUGCCUGCUACCAAGGACAGUGGCAAGCCUUUAUAUACUGAGAGGGUGUGCCUCUCAGAUGUUAGGGUUUGCUUACUUGCAUGGUUUUCUUUUUGUCAACUUAGCAUCUUUGACUCAUGAUUGCAUAAAUUAUCUUCAGUAAUAACCAAUACCAAUAUGUAUGCUUUUGAAUAUGCCCUAAGAAAAAACAGGAGAUUUACUAUGUUGAAAUUGAAAAAUGGGUGGAGUUCAGAUGAGCAUGUUUCAUUAUUCUUUUUGUCUUUUGAAGAACAUUGGGCAACUAUUAAAAUCCUUUUUCCUCAGCAUUAAUUAAGUUUGCACAGAAUGUUUGCAAAGUUUUGGGGAAAAAAAUUUAGCUACAAAAUUAUGGUUAAAAUAAGAUUUAAAUAAUUUAUGCUUUAAACUGUUUUAAUUAAUUGGAACAACAAGUAGCAUGAAGACUACCAGAAUCAUGCUAUAGUAAGAAUAUCUUGUAAAAACCUUUAACCAACCAAAAAGAAAAUAAAAACAUAUGGAAAUAAUUUAAUUAGCAUCCAAGAGUUGCUGCAUAUAAGAAGUAAAAGCCUAAAAAGCACAAUUUAGGAAACUAUAUGUAUGUGUGUGUGUUAGGGAAUCUUUUAUUUGGAGAGUGAAAAUAUAUUAAUAUAUAUUUUUAAAUUUUUUUAAUUGUACAUGGAUAUAAUACCUUUACUUUAUUUAUUUGUAUGUGGUGCUGAGAAUCAAACCCAGGGCCUUGCAUGUGCUAGGCGAGCACUCUACCACUGAGCCACAACCCCAGCCCAUAUAUUAAUAUUUUGUCUAAAAUAUUGGAAGUAAAUAUUGAUUGAGAAAUUUAAAAUUUAAUGAUUUCAUUGUUUUUAACAUUAAAAAAUCUGAAAUAUGUAGGGUAGAAACUGGUCACACCAGAAAUGCCAAUCAAGUGAUUUUAGAGUGGGAAAUUUGUAUCAUGUAUCUGCCAACCUGGGGCUGAGUUUCUACUAGGUAGGCAAUCAAUCAGUCAUGCUUAUCUAAUGCAGCCCUAAUAAAAUUUCUGCACAUGGAGACUUGGGUCAACUUGCUUGGUUGGCAAUACUCUCUCUAUGUAGUCAUAUAUAUCAACACUGAGAAGGUACCAUAUCCUGAGACAUUUGGAACCCUCCGUGUCCUUGCCUUACAAUAAACUAUAACCACGAGUAUGAUAGCCAAAAAAAAUCUGAAAUAUGACAUAAUCCUGGGUUAUUUUGUUUCUAAAUUCCUCAUAAUUAAAUUUUUUUAAUGAAGACUAGCAUACAGAAAUUCUUAGCACAAGAACCAAAAAAUCUAAUCUCAAUACUAAUUUCUAGUACCUUACAAUAAGUUUUGAUUGACCAGAAAAAGAGAAUUUAGAUACGGUAGUUUACAAGUAAAUAUUUGCUUGCAAAAAUAUAUAUCCAUGGUAAAGAGUACUUGCUUAAAAAGUUAUGAACUAUAGUUGUAUGUUUCUUAAUAAACAAAACAUUUUCUUAGGUGUACUGUUUACAGAAUCUGGUAUAACAGUUUGUCUAGUGAAGUAUUUAAUUGAAACUUUAUUAAUGCAUGAUAUGAAAUUUUGUAAUGCUUUUUGUGAUACUAUAAUGUAAAAUACUCUGGAACAAACUGCUGAGGAUAGAGAUGGUGGUUAUCAUCUGUAAUUUGUAUCUCAGGAAGCUAAAGCUGAGAGAGGUGAUGAUUUUUUUCCUAAAGGCAUGUAAUAGAUGGUUGAACUGAUUAUAAGUUUGGUUCCUUGACUUUGACUUUCUUAGUAUAUCAAUGUGUAUAUGUAUUCUCAGUUGUGGUGUAUUUGGUCUGAUAGAACUGAAUGUCUCUAAUUCUUACCAUGAACUUCUCCCCAUGGAAACAAAAUAAAACAGGAAUAACUUGAGAAGCUUGAAGAUAUUGAAAGAAUAGGGAUUUGGCACUCAUUAUUAUAUUGAGAAUUGCCUUUUUAAAUUAAAUUUAUAGCUGUAUCUUCAAGUUUAUGAUCUAAAGAAAUAGUUUCUGCAGGGAAAGGGAAUGUGGUUGAGAGCAUUAAUGAAGAGUUGAUUGUUAGAGUGGAGAUUACUACCCAACAAAUUGCAACUCCUCCAACUUGUUGGUACAUGGUGCAGGUGGAAUUUAAGCUGAGCGUUGGGAAGGAUAAGUGGGGUUUUUCAAUGUGUGCAACAUAAUUGAGAGAACUGUUCUGGGAAGUGGGGACUGUGAAUAUGCCAAGCUGGUAGAGACUCCAAAUGGACCAGUUCGGCUGGAACAGAUUGUUCAUAUUCGUCAAUGUAUUCAUUCCUUCAACAGGUUUUAUUGAGCACAUGCAAUUUGACCUGGGUUUACAUAGGUGACUAAGAUAUAGUUCUUGCUCCUUGAGGAGUUCAUAGUCAACCUGGAGAGGCAAACAAACAUACAUAUGAAUCAGGGAUAAUAAUACAGAGUCAUCUAGGCUACAUCUGAGGCAUGGGUAGGGGGCUGAGGGAAUGCAGAAUGGCAUUCCAUCAAUCUGGUGAAAGGAGACAGGCAGGGAAAGGAGGUGUACACUUGAUGGAUUCUAUGUCCUCCUUCUCUCCAAAGUAGGAAUAAUAACUUUUGCUUAGCCUAUAGAGUUAUACUGGGGAUCAAAUGAGUUUAAUUAAUAUAAAACAUUUAAAACAGUGGUUGUCAUACAUAGAAUAAGAGCUUAAUAAAUGGUUUUGUUUUCAUUAUUACUUUUACUGUAAUCUCUGUUUCUUAGAGUCUGACCACUGUCCAAUCCACAGUCAGCCUGCAAAAUAUGAAUGAAUGAAAGGAUAGAGUUGGAAGUUGGAAAAUGGCCAGUGAGGAGGAAAACAUGGCUUUGCAGGAGAGUAAGGGCCAGGGGAAGCUGUUGAGUCUGACUGCUAUGUAAUGAACUACACCAUCCGUUUUUCACUGGAUGAUACUUUAAUUUCUGACUUCAUUCUUUUUUUCCUGCACCCACCAAGUCACCAUUUUUUGUUGCUUUGGCCAUAUCUGAUGUAUUUCUUUCUUUCUCUAAUAUCACUGCAAACCCCUAAUCCGGCUUUCACCACUUCUCUCAGGAUUACUUCACCAGCUUCUGAAGUAUUUUUUUUUUUUUUUUUUUGGCUCAUCACUAUGUCAGUUAAGUUCUAUCCAGUUCACUGUGGCAUGAUUAGUAAUGUUCUUAAAAAAGUAUUGUCAUCACUUCACCAGCAUUCUCAAGCCUCUGUGGAUGGAUUGUCUUUCCUAUAAUGUUGCUUGCUCGUCCAACCUCAUGCCCCUGCGGUAAGGGUGGUAGAGUGGAAGGAGUGCUGCAUUCUCCUCAGGAGGUGAUUAUGUGGCCUUGAGCAAGACACUCAGCCUUUCUGUGUCUCAGUUUAUUGUCCCAUAAAAUAUGGAUAAUACUAAUAUUAAAUAUUAAAAUAUAUAUGAUGAUAAUAAAUAAUUAUAAUCUGUGAUCCAAGGGAAAAUGUUAGCAUUUCCUUAAAAAAACCCUUUAAUUAUAAGCAGACCUUUCUUUUCGCUCUGGACCAAGACAUUAUGCUUUGUUCCAUUUAGGACCUUUGUUGCUCUUGGUGAGGAGUGCCUUUUUUACCUUUCGCUGGCUUAUUCAAAUCAUUCUACCUGAGCUUCAAACUCAAGCUUAAAUGUCAUCUCCUUCAUGAGAUUUCUCACCAUUAGUCUACUUCAUGGCCAUCUCUUUCUUCCCAUUUCCUGUGUUGUACAUCUGAUUAUUUUAUAAUAUGUUAUAAUACUCUGGCUUCAUUAUUGUUCCUAAUGCAACAUGGUACUUAACUUCUUCCAUAGAAGGGAGGGUGCCUUAUAGUCUUCCUGUACUGCUGGGUACUCAGUGUUUUCUGAAUAUUUUCAUAUCACUUUAUGCCUUUUCCCACUUUUUUCUUCACCUUUAUUUUGUUCUCUCAACUUUUGUCCUAUAUAUUUUGCUAUUGCCAAAAAUUUAAACAAAGACUGGUUGGAGACAACUAACUUAAUUUUGCUUUGAAAGAAAUGAUGCUUUUAGAAUUGAGGAUAUUGUGUAAAAAUGCUAAGAAAUCUAAGAUUCUACAUAGGAAUUUUGAGAUAGCUUAAAGAAUAUAAAAUAUAUACCUAGAAUAAAUGUACUUUAUAUAUGUAAUGUUUCGUAAAGAAAACAUUUUGACUUUCACUUUUUCUUCUUCAUUAAUGGUUAUUUUUUUGGCCAUGAAGUUACUGAGAUGAUCUUGAGGCUAGUAAACCAUUAAAAUCUGUGGUUCUAAUCUAAAAUUUGAUUUUCAUAUAUUAGGAGAAUAGAAAGUUCCGGUUGGGUUUCUGGUUAGCUAGCCUAUAAGUAUGAUGUAAUUUAAGGAUUAAAUAUAACACGACUUAACUUUUAAACUUCGUUGACCUGUCAUAGGUUUCUGUUUUUGGUUAAGUUCAUUCUGUGAAAGACAAUUUCUCAAUACAAAUAACCUGCAUUAGGAGAAGUUAUUGAUAUAGAAUAGAAAGCAGAAAUAUAAUACUCUUUUUAGUUUUCAUAUAAGAUAGUAAAAACUGAAAGUACUAAACCAACCAACCAAUCAAACUCUACAGACCCCAGUGUUAAAUAUUGAAAUUAAACAUUGUCAAAAAUUCAGUGGCUAUUUCUCCUGCCUCAUAAAUUUAAAAAAAUUCCUUUAGGUCCAGUUGUGUUUUUCAUCCAAAUCAAUAAUUUCACGGAUGGCUGCGUGUGGACCAUUGGCACGUUUGGAUAUAACUUCUUGUUAAGUUUUAGCUAGGGAGUUUGGGCCAAUCUAAAUAGAAUGGAGAAAAUUUUAGAUUAGAAAUGGUGCACACUGAGGUUAAAGUUCAUAGAGAAAGUAAUAAUCCCCUACUCUGAUGACUUUAAGUGAAUAUAUGUGAGAUAUAUAUAUAUACAUUUAAGGGAAAAGUCUUAUGAAGUUAAAUUAAUGUCUUAAUUUUAUUGUUUAGAGAUUUUAAAAAAUGCUUCAUAACAAAUGAAACUCCUUCUUUGAAUCACUUUGGGAGAGGUUGGAAUUGCAGAGGAAAAGAUUUAAAUCAUUAUUUAAAUGUAACAUAUGGUAAAGGGGAAAUUUAUCAUAAUCUUUUUGGCUCCUCAGGGCUGAUGGUUGAUAAUGCCCAAAGACCAUUUAAUUUUUUUGGAUUACACAAAUUUGCAGAUAACAUUGCAAAGUUAGUUCUAAGAUUGAGUUUAUAGAGCUAUUCAGACUUUUUUAUGAUCCAGGGCCUGUGCUAAGCAUUUACCUGCAUUUUUCUCAUUAAAUCCUGAUAUCAGCUUUAUGAGGUAGCUUUUUAAAACAGUUAUUAAAGUAAGUGAUUUGCCCCAAAUUAUUCUAUAAAGGGGCUCCACUGGGAUUUGAACACAGGUAUAUCUUCUGAGCCUUUGCUUUAUUUAGUACAAUGACUCUUUCGAAGUAACCUGAUAUUGUAUUUUCCAGCAUUGUGACUUAGAAAAUUAUUAAGUACAUAAGGGAUUUUAUUUCCCUUUUCAGAGUGGACAAGCUUUCUUUAUUAUCAUUGUUUUGUGAUUAAAAACACUCUAA